rnacentral:rRNA from 1 species
AGUGAACGCUGGCGGUAGGCCUAACACAUGCAAGUCGAACGGCAGCACAGUAAGAGCUUGCUCUUACGGGUGGCGAGUGGCGGACGGGUGAGGAAUACAUCGGAAUCUACUUUUUCGUGGGGGAUAACGUAGGGAAACUUACGCUAAUACCGCAUACGACCUACGGGUGAAAGCAGGGGAUCUUCGGACCUUGCGCGAUUGAAUGAGCCGAUGUCGGAUUAGCUAGUUGGCGGGGUAAAGGCCCACCAAGGCGACGAUCCGUAGCUGGUCUGAGAGGAUGAUCAGCCACACUUGAACUGAGACACGGUCCAGACUCCUACGGGAGGCAGCAGUGGGGAAUAUUUGACAAUGGGCGCAAGCCUGAUCCAGCCAUACCGCGUGGGUGAAGAAGGCCUUCGGGUUGUAAAGCCCUUUUGUUGGGAAAGAAAAGCAGCAGGUUAAUACCCCGCUGUUCUGACGGUACCCAAAGAAUAAGCACCGGCUAACUUCGUG